UAUGGGAGAAGAUUAAAGUGAGGAAAAGUCAGUCAUGCUUGAUGAUAUAGUGCUCAGAACUAAGAUUAUCAUUUUAAUAGAUUUAGGUUAUAAAAUUUACUUUAAAUGUCAACCAACAAUUAUUUGUAAAAAUGCAUUUUGUCUUCACAUGUAUCAAGGCACAAGAAAGAAAAUAUAGGUAGGAAGAUAUAUCCUUUUGGAAAGAGUUAAUUACUCAUAUAAUUCUGGCUAAUUUAAAGUAGUAUACUUUGUGGCCUAAAUUGUUUGAGAGCCUGCCAUAUACAUUUCACCACAUUUAAAGUGUCUAUUUGCUUGCACAGUGACAAAUUCAGAGGUCUUUGUGGAAGAAAUUACAUCAUCUUUCAUCAGAUAUAAGAGAGGUGUUGUAAGGAGUGCAGUUUGUUUAUAUUUACUGUAGAGACAGGAAAAGAAUAGCUGGUUUAUGUACUCACUGCCUUAAUUUGAGCUAAUCUCACAAGGAACAAAUGCCUUAGGAACUGCAAAUGUGUCAUACUUGUUCUUUGUCCAAGGCAAAGAUCUGGGAUUCACAGGACAUUCUCUCCUUUAAGAUCAGACAUCAGGAUCAUUCUUAACAACAUAGAACUUUGAGCAGACAUUGGAUUUGAACUAUUAUCUCUGCAUAUUUCAAACAUGUUUACAAUCCCUUAUCUUUACCAACCCUCAGAGGUAUUUUCACACAUUCAAAUGCAAUUACAUAUGUAUUAAAGGCUCUCUCAAUUAAUCAUCUCAUCUUACGUCCAACUCAAUGUUAUAUUUCCUAGGAACUGUCCUAAAUUAAAACUUGGUUGACAGGAUGCUUAAGAAAACAGUAUGCUCAGUUGGUUUAAAAAAAAAAAAAAAAAACUGAGAUACAACUUAAAUAUAACCUGUGCAGUACUCUGCAUUUAUUAUAAUUAAAUAAAUAAUUUUUUAAAACUAUUUCAGGAAAUAAUUCUUACCCAUUUUUCCAGGACUUUUAAAACUUGACACAAUUGUGAUCAGAUGAAGGGAAAUUACUAUUAGAGAACUGCUUUGAUUCAGUUCUAAUAUUAUGACCUUGCUCUAGGUCUGUGACAUUUUCUCUCCUUCCUCAUUUGAUAGGGCUAAUUUUUUGACUUCCACUAUGCAGUUACAACAUUCAUUUGUUCAUCUUGCUGACCUGCUCUCAAAAUCAACUGGGAAUUUAUUGUACUGUUCCAGAUAGAUAUUUCAGAUUUUCCUUUAUAGAUUUAGGUAGACAAUUUUAAGAACAUGGUAAUUUUUUUAAUCAGAUGAACAUUAAAAAAUUUACCUACCAGCUAAUAGCACACUCUUUAUUACAGGAACAUUUAAUAUGCAAGAAUACUUAUUGGCUUUUAGCCUCAUACAAUGCUACAUUUAUUUUUAGACUAAAUUA
rnacentral:lncRNA from 1 species